rnacentral:rRNA from 1 species
AGUGAACGCUGGCGGUAGGCCUAACACAUGCAAGUCGAACGGCAGCACAGUAAGAGCUUGCUCUUACGGGUGGCGAGUGGCGGACGGGUGAGGAAUACAUCGGAAUCUACUUUUUCGUGGGGGAUAACGUAGGGAAACUUACGCUAAUACCGCAUACGACCUACGGGUGAAAGCAGGGGAUCUUCGGACCUUGCGCGAUUGAAUGAGCCGAUGUCGGAUUAGCUAGUUGGCGGGGUAAAGGCCCACCAAGGCGACGAUCCGUAGCUGGUCUGAGAGGAUGAUCAGCCACACUGGAACUGAGACACGGUCCAGACUCCUACGGGAGGCAGCAGUGGGGAAUAUUGGGCAAUGGGCGCAAGCCUGAUGCAGCAAUACCGCGUGGGUGAAGAAGGCCUUCGGGUUGUAAAGCCCUUUUGUUGGGAAAGAAAAGCAGCAGGUUAAUACCCCGCUGUUCUGACGGUACCCAAAGAAUAAGCACCGGCUAACUUCGUG